rnacentral:rRNA from 1 species
UACGUAGGGGGCAAGCGUUGUCCGGAAUCAUUGGGCGUAAAGCGCGUGUAGGCGGCCCGAUAAGUCCGCCGUGAAAGUCCAGGGCUCAACCCUGGGAUGCCGGUGGAAACUGUCGGGCUAGAGUCCGGAAGAGGCGAGUGGAAUUCCUGGUGUAGCGGUGAAAUGCGCAGAUAUCAGGAGGAACACCAAUGGCGAAGGCAGCUCGCUGGAACGGUACUGACGCUGAGGCGCGAAAGCGUGGGGAGCAAACAGG